GUAGGUGGCAAGCGUUGUCCGGAAUUAUUGGGCGUAAAGCGCGCGCAGGCGGUUCUUUAAGUCUGAUGUGAAAGCCCACGGGCUCAACCGUGGAGGGUCAUUGGAAACUGGAGAACUUGAGUACAGAAGAGGAAAGCGGAAUUCCACGUGUAGCGGUGAAAUGCGUAGAGAUGUGGAGGAACACCAGUGGCGAAGGCGGCUUUCUGGUCUGUAACUGACGCUGAGGCGCGAAAGCGUGGGGAGCAAACAGGAUUAGAUACCCUGGUAGUCCACGCCGUAAACGAUGAGUGCUAAGCGUUAGGGGGUUUCCGCCCCUUAGUGCUGCAGCUAACGCAUUAAGCACUCCGCCUGGGGAGUACGGCCGCAAAGGCUG
rnacentral:rRNA from 1 species